UGGCAGCACGGGGUGUGCGGUGGUGCCUUCCCUCGUUCGUCCUUCCCCUCCUGGCUGAGCGCCGGGCGAUGAGCUCCUCGAGGCAGGGCUUGCUGGUCACUCUGCGAUCAGAUAAAUACCCAAACAGAACAAAACAAAAGGAGAAUGAUACGCAGGGCAAUCCCAACCACUAUUCAAUUAAAAGGGAAAGACCCAACUCAUUCAACAUCUCUGCUGCUGGUGCUCUCUGCCGCUUCCACUAUGCCAGAAAUAAAUCUCCAGAUAAAUUUUAUUAUUCUUUUGUUUUUUACAGAUUAUUUAACUGCAAGCUUCUGGCACAGGAUCGUUGUGGUGGUUGUUAGCACCGGUGCUCUUCCACUGAAGAGAAAUAGUCCCCCUAGUGUGUCGUUGUUGAAGGGAGCACCGCGGUGCUGUGAUUCAUGAAGCAGCUUGCUAUUGGCAGCUGCUGGUGGCCAAGAUGAGGAUGUGCAGAGCAAAGCAGCUACAGAAGCUCAGAAGGGAUCCAUACUGGCUGCCUACUGCACCAAAACCACAUGAGACCCAGUGUGACCACAGCUUUUGCUCCACAGUACCAAGACUCUUCCAAGAAAUGAGCAGCUUCAGUGGGCCUUUCCCAACACUUGCAGCAUCCCUUCCUGGUGCA